rnacentral:rRNA from 1 species
UACGAAGGGGGCUAGCGUUGUUCGGAAUUACUGGGCGUAAAGCGCACGUAGGCGGAUCGAUCAGUCAGGGGUGAAAUCCCAGAGCUCAACUCUGGAACUGCCUUUGAUACUGUCGAUCUAGAGUAUGGAAGAGGUGAGUGGAAUUCCGAGUGUAGAGGUGGAAUUCGUAGAUAUUAGGAAGAACACCAGUGGCGAAGGCGGCUCACUGGUCCGGUACUGACGCUGAGGUGCGAAAGCGUGGGGAGCAAACAGG